GACGAACGCUGGCGGCGUGCUUAACACAUGCAAGUCGAACGGAAAGGCCCUGCUUUUGUGGGGUGCUCGAGUGGCGAACGGGUGAGUAACACGUGAGUAACCUGCCCUUGACUUUGGGAUAACUUCAGGAAACUGGGGCUAAUACCGGAUAGGAGCUCCUGCUGCAUGGUGGGGGUUGGAAAGUUUCGGCGGUUGGGGAUGGACGCGCGGCUUAUCAGCUUGUUGGUGGGGUAGUGGCUUACCAAGGCUGUGACGGGUAGCCGGCCUGAGAGGGUGACCGGCCACAUUGGGACUGAGAGACGGACCAGACUCCUACGGGAGGCAGCAGUGGGGAAUAUUGCACAGUGGGCGGAAGCCUGAUGCAGCAACGCCGCGUGCGGGAUGACGGCCUUCGGGUUGUAAACCGCUUUCGCCUGUGACGAAGCGUGAGUGACGGUAAUGGGUAAAGAAGCACCGGCUAACUACGUG
rnacentral:rRNA from 1 species